GACGAACGCUGGCGGCGUGCCUAAUACAUGCAAGUAGAACGCUGAAGGAGGAGCUUGCUUCUCUGGAUGAGUUGCGAACGGGUGAGUAACGCGUAGGUAACCUGCCUGGUAGCGGGGGAUAACUAUUGGAAACGAUAGCUAAUACCGCAUAAGAGUAGAUGUUGCAUGACAUUUGCUUAAAAGGUGCAAUUGCAUCACUACCAGAUGGACCUGCGUUGUAUUAGCUAGUUGGUGGGGUAACGGCUCACCAAGGCGACGAUACAUAGCCGACCUGAGAGGGGGAUCGGCCACACUGGGACUGAGACACGGCCCAGACUCCUACGGGAGGCAGCAGUAGGGAAUCUUCGGAAAUGGACGGAAGUCUGACCGAGCAACGCCGCGUGAGUGAAGAAGGUUUUCGGAUCGUAAAGCUCUGUUGUAAGAGAAGAACGAGUGUGAGAGUGGAAAGUUCACACUGUGACGGUAUCUUACCAGAAAGGGACGGCUAACUACGUG
rnacentral:rRNA from 1 species